AAAGCCUCUGCUGAUUGCAUCCAGGUGUCGGAUACGAAGCUAUGCCACAGCAAGUGGGUGAAGCGUGUGCUUUUGCAGCACCAUGGCAACAUAAUCAGAAGAGAAGACAAUCACACUGAACACAAAAUACCCACCGAUGUGACAUGACUGCAGCCAGCAACUCUGAGAGCCUGUGAACACAAUUUACAUUUCUUUCUUGUAAUUUUCCUCAUGAUUACACACCGUAAAAGGAAGAAGCAUAGUGUUAUUAUUUUUGGCACUCAGAGCAGCUCUAGUGGCUAAGACUGGGAAGGCCUUGUAUGGUGGCAACUGCACGCCAGCCAGGGUGACUCUGGGCUGGAAACACAGGCAGUUCCCACGUUUCUGCUAAAGGACAAAUAGCUUGAGACACAACAGCAAACAAACAAACCCCCCAUGACAGUGCUGGGAGAAGGAAGGGACACUCUGUUAUCCAUACAUGUCCUUCAAGACACAGGUAAGUGGCUGGCAGCCAGAAUUCUGAUUUACACAGCAGUGGAAGACAAGCCUUGGCCUCAACAGUGGAUUUCUCACAGGACCCUGAGCAGACACACAGUACAGCUGGCUGUGGGACUGAGCAGUCACAGUCCACACUGUCUGCUUUGUGUACCAGCUUCCACCUUAGUUUCCUUUAGGGUUCCCUUGGUCUUGUGUUCUGUCAUGAGUUAAGAGCAUUGCACCCUGCCCUAGAGCCAGAUUUA